GUCGCCAUUGCAUUGCUAAUGCUACUAUAUACAUAUGCAUAUAUAGUUUUCUAGCUAGAUCAAGUAAGUUUUGAGCGAGCAAGCAAGUUAGGUAGUAGCGCUAUACCUUGAAAAUUAGGUAAUUAAUUAAGAUGGCCGGAGAUUCGCCGGAGGCGCCGGUCGGGCAGGCAUGAACCACCGGCCUCUGCGACUGCUGCGACGACUGCAACAGCUGUUGCCUGACGUUCUUCUGCCCGUGCGUUGCCUUCGGCCUUAUCGCCGAGACCCUCGACAGGGGCAGCAUCUCUUGCGCCAUAGCAGGCAUCACCUACUGCUGGAUGCGGCCGAGCACGGUGCUCCCAGGCAUGCACACCAUGUACUCUUGGUCCUACCGCCAGAAGCUCCGCGCCACGUUCGGCAUGGCGCCGGAGCCCUGCGCCGACUGCUGUCUGCAGCUCUUCUGUGACAGAUGUUCCCUCAGCCAGAUGUACCGCGAGCUCAAGAACCGUGGCGUCAACCCUGCCAAUGGUAAUUAAACCCGGCUCACGCCUUACCAUAUUCUACAUUAAUUAUAUAUUUUUAACAAUGAUAGAAUUAUGUAAACUGUUACAUUGAUCUCGUCCUUGUUUUAAUUAAUAUUCCACCACAUAACCCAUUUUAUUGUAAAAUCUCAAUCAUCCAAAA